CUCUUAUUCUGCCAGCAAAAAUCCUUGCGGUUUGCAAUUAAAUUGUGUGAGGAGUUCAGUCACAGAGAGGGAAAGACUUCUGUAUCCAUCUGACCUAAGGUACAGGCACGAAGCUGAACCUGAAAUAAGGAAGGCCUCGGGGUCAACAGAGACUGAUUGGAAAUUUCUCUCGCAAGGCCUUUAACGCGCAGCACAGUGGGCGCAGUUAAAACGGCGAUCGUUCCGUCCCUCUGUGGCCAACAGUGGUGCAUGUGGUCUCCAAAGACAGCUAUUAAGUGGAAGUCUGCUUUGAGGGAGAACCGCAGUGAAACUGAUGUGGUCACCCCAGCGAGAGAGGUAAUAAGUUUCUACGGGGAAGCUGCAAAUGACCUGUAGCUGGUCUCUGCACCACCACUGGUCUGCAGCCACAGCCUGGAAGCAAUGCCACCACAGGGACACCUCCUCGCUGUGCUCUGCUGUCACUGCCUAGCCCCAGAUUUGAAAGCCGUGGAAGUCGUACCCAAGGUUUGAAACUCUUAGACUGUCCUGAGAAGUCUUUAAGAUCCAGAAACCUUCACCUUUCAUCUCACUGGAGGAAAAUAAGAGACCUCAGAGGCUGUAU
rnacentral:lncRNA from 1 species